rnacentral:pre_miRNA from 1 species
AGAGGGACAGCUGGAUCAAAUGGUGAUUCCAUUCCUAAUUUUCCAAGAAAUCUCCAUACUACUUUUCAUAUUGGCUGCACCAAUUUGCAGUCCCACCAGCAGU